AUGGCUGAUUGAUUAUGCUUCUCAAUUCUCAAAAAGUUAUGAUCUGAUAGAACUCUCUCUGAUGCAGCAUUGGUUUAGCAUGGUGGUGCGGAAGUGUUGCGGCUUGGUUUGUGAGCUACAGACCUUAUCAAGCAGCAAAGUCAUCUCACAUAUGCCGACGACGAAGAUGCAUAUUUAUUGGCUGAGGGAGCAACAACACAAUUCUGAUGAUUCUGCCAAUGUUGCUUAUUUACUUGCAAGGACCAGAGGGUAUGCUGAUGCUGCGUAGGUAAAUCUUACAUGCCUCGUCAUUAAUCAUUGUUGGUGAAACAAAUGUCACUUGAGAAAUCUCAGCCCAUUUUUCUUGUUAAUGAAUAUUGUUACCCACA